rnacentral:rRNA from 1 species
CUGCAGUCGAGCGGAGAGGGAGCUUGCUCCUUGAUUCAGCGGCGGACGGGUGAGUAAUGCCUAGGAAUCUGCCUGGUAGUGGGGGACAACGUUUCGAAAGGAACGCUAAUACCGCAUACGUCCUACGGGAGAAAGCAGGGGACCUUCGGGCCUUGCGCUAUCAGAUGAGCCUAGGUCGGAUUAGCUAGUUGGUGGGGUAAUGGCUCACCAAGGCGACGAUCCGUAACUGGUCUGAGAGGAUGAUCAGUCACACUGGAACUGAGACACGGUCCAGACUCCUACGGGAGGCAGCAGUGGGGAAUAUUGGACAAUGGGCGAAAGCCUGAUCCAGCCAUGCCGCGUGUGUGAAGAAGGUCUUCGGAUUGUAAAGCACUUUAAGUUGGGAGGAAGGGCAGUAAGCUAAUACCUUGCUGUUUUGACGUUACCGACAGAAUAAGCACCGGCUAACUCUGUGCCAGCAGCCGCGGUAAUACAGAGGGUGCAAGCGUUAAUCGGAAUUACUGGGCGUAAAGCGCGCGUAGGUGGUUCGUUAAGUUGGAUGUGAAAGCCCCGGGCUCAACCUGGGAACUGCAUCCAAAACUGGCGAGCUAGAGUACGGUAGAGGGUGGUGGAAUUUCCUGUGUAGCGGUGAAAUGCGUAGAUAUAGGAAGGAACACCAGUGGCGAAGGCGACCACCUGGACUGAUACUGACACUGAGGUGCGAAAGCGUGGGAGCAAACAGGAUUAGAUACCCUGGUAGUCCACGCCGUAAACGAUGUCAACUAGCCGUUGGAAUCCUUGAGAUUUUAGUGCGCAGCUAACGCAUUAAGUUGACCGCCUGGGGAUACGGCGCAAGGUUAAAACUCAAAUGAAUUGACGGGGGCCCGCACAAGCGGGGACAUGGGUUUAAUUCAAGCAACGCAACCUUACCCCUUGACUGCAAAACUUUCAAAUGGUUGGGUCGAACUCUGACCCUGCAUGGUGUCCAGCUCGCGAAGUGGUGUCCGUAAGCUCCUAGGGGUCUGGACGUAAA